GCAACAGAAGGUGGUAGCACUUUGGUCCACUGCAAGGCAGGAAGGGCACGAAGCGCUACCAUAGUUCUAUGCUGUAUUUGAUUAAGUACAAGAACAUGACUCCCGAAGUAGCUUUGGCUCGUGCGAAGUCCGUAAGAACUCGAGUGAAAUUGGCAACAGCUCAAUGGCAGGCUGUCAAGGAGUUUAACUCAAGUCUGGUGGAUGUUGGUGAGGAUGUUAGUCAGGAUGUUGAUGACGAUGGCAUCGACACGCUGCAGGGCGCUUGAAGAUUACCUAACUGCAGAACAUUCUUCUGAAUUGGCCUGAUUUGCAGAUCCACGUGCAGUUUUUCAUAUUGCGGAUCAACAAGUGUGAAUAAUUCAGCAUUAGUUUCCGCAGCCCGCGGAAAGUCCUUAGGAGGACUGGAGGAGAGGUUGA